CAAAGAAAAAAUCCCCAAUUCGAUUUUGGUCUGUCUCGAAAGAACCCUAGAUUGAGCUGAAGGAAAAACGAGUGAGAGAUUUUGAGAGAUUGAAUCGAUGAACGAUUGAGAGAUCUUCUUCUCCGUCUCGUCUAACCGUGUUCUCGUCUCUCCGUCUUCUCCGUGUUGUGGAUCUCGUUCUUCUCGUCCGAAGCGUCUCAUCCCUGCUGUUUCUCCAUCCCAAAAUCGUUGAGAGUCAGGUGCCAAAAUCCCGUAGAGAACUGGUUAUGUCUUUGUUGUAAAGAGGUUCUAUGCAGCCGUUUCGUGAACAAGGAUAUGCUUAUGCAUCACCAACAGACUCUGCAGAAGAACAUAUUAGACUUGCAAACAAAGAAAUCAUUGGCUCAGGCUUGAAAGAGCAAACUGGUGUCAAGGACUGCUCUGGGGAUUUUUCAGCACCCAAUGCAUCAAUCCUCAACAUUGGGGAUUCAGGUUCAGUUCCACCUGAAGACAUGCUACACUUAAAAGGGAAGUAUUGCUGAGAAAUCUUCUGAUAAGAAAGACUCUGCAGAAGUGCAUAUCUUACCUGCAAAUAAAGAUAUCACUGGUUUAGGCUCAAAAGAGCAAACUGGUCUCAAGGACUUAAUAUUAGCAUCAACCCCAGCAAAGAUUCUUGAAAGCUAAAUUCUUUGUGAUUAAGUCAUAUAGCGAAGAUGAUGUUCAUAACAGUAUAAAGUAUGGUGCAUGGUCGGCACACCAACUGGCAACAAGAAUUUGAAUGCUGCAUAUUAUGAAGCCAAAGAGAACUCUAAAGAAUGUCCUGUGAAUGCUCCUACAAAAGGUUGAGGCACCUCAUAAAACAUAUAUUUCCAUUACACACAUGUUGAGUUCAUAUUCCAAACCCAAUACCCAAAAGAACCAAUGCACAGAGCAAAUAACUAGCUACUAUCUUUGAACUGCAACUUUUUAUGUUUUUCAUUUUCACUUCAUUGUUUUUUUUGUUAUUAAUAAUUUUGAACUGUAUUAUCUUUUUA